rnacentral:rRNA from 1 species
UACGUAGGAGGCGAACGUUAUUCGGAUUUACUGGGCGUAAAAGGAGUGUAGGCGGCUCUUCAAGUCAAGUGUGAAAUCUUCUGACUUAAUCAGAAGAGGUCAUUUGAUACUGUAGGGCUUGAGGGCAGCAGAAGGAGAUGGAAUCCCCAGUGGAGCGGUGAAAUGUGUAGAUAUUGGGGAGAACACCAGUGGCGAAGGCGAUUUCCUAGGCUGUUUCUGACGCUGAGGCUCGAAAGCGUGGGGAGCGAAGCGGAUUAGAUACCCGCGUA